UGCCGCCGCGUCGUCCUCCAGCGCGGGUGGUGAAAACCUAGCCAGGGUGGGAGGCGGCGUGGCUGCAGCGCGGCGGGGAGGGCCCCGCCGGUCGCCUUCUGCAGCCGCGUAUCCGUCAGUUCCCGUCGCCGUCACUGGGGCGCCGUGCGGCUCCAGUCUGGGGCGGAAGCUGCGGCCGUCGCGGCGGCCGGAUCCGCGUCCCGCCUCAACGCCCGGAGGACAUGAGGGAGAGAGAAUGAGCCAGAGGGACACGCUGGUGCAUCUGUUUGCCGGAGGAUGUGGUGGUACGGUGGGAGCUAUUCUGACAUGUCCACUGGAAGUUGUAAAAACACGGCUGCAGUCAUCUUCUGUGACACUUUAUAUCUCUGAAGUUCAGCUGAACACCAUGACUGGAGCCAGUGUCAAUCGAGUAGUGUCUCCUGGACCUCUCCAUUGUCUAAAGGUGAUCUUGGAAAAAGAAGGGCCUCGUUCCCUGUUUAGAGGAUUAGGCCCCAAUUUAGUGGGGGUGGCCCCUUCCAGAGCAAUAUACUUUGCUGCUUAUUCAAACUGCAAGGAAAAGUUGAAUGGUUUAUUUGAUCCUGAUUCUACCCAGGUACACAUGAUUUCAGCUGCAAUGGCAGGCAUUUACUGUACAUUUCUCCCGAGAAAAGAGUGAGAUCGUGUCAUCUCAUGCUCCCCAUCCGCAGGUCACUUCCUGUAGAAAUAUGGACUAACUUAAACCUCGUUUUACCGCAAUCACAGCGACCAACCCCAUUUGGCUUAUAAAGACUCGGUUACAGCUUGAUGCAAGGAACCGUGGGGAAAAGCGAAUGGGUGCUUUUGAGUGUGUCCGUAAAGUGUAUCAGACAGAUGGACUUAGAGGAUUUUAUAGGGGCAUGUCUGCUUCAUAUGCUGGCAUAUCAGAGACUGUUAUCCAUUUUGUUAUUUAUGAAAGUAUUAAGCAAAAACUACUGGAAUAUAAGAUUGCUUCUACAAUGGAAAAUGAAGAAGAGUCUGUAAAAGAAGCAUCAGAUUUUGUGGGAAUGAUGCUAGCUGCUGCCACCUCAAAAACGUGUGCCACAACUAUAGCAUAUCCACAUGAAGUUGUAAGAACAAGACUGCGUGAGGAGGGAACAAAAUAUAGAUCCUUUUUUCAGACACUAUCUUUGCUUGUUCAAGAAGAAGGCUAUGGGUCUCUUUACCGUGGUCUGACAACUCAUCUGGUGAGACAGAUUCCAAACACAGCCAUUAUGAUGGCCACCUAUGAAUUAGUGGUCUACCUGCUCAACGGAUAGCACCACCAGGCUGCUGUACUAUAAAGAGGGAAGACCAAAAGAUAGAGUGGACCAUGGAGUACCGAAGCCAGCUUGGUGGACAGAAGGAAAAUAGUGUGGGAACAUGGAACUAUACCUAAGUGGAAGUUUGGUUGUAGGAAUUAAAGUAAUCAUAACCACAUUACUUAGUCUUUUUAGUAAUGUGAAAAAAAACCUUGGCUGCCUCCAAGAAAAAGCCUUUAGAAGCGCUCCUUCUUCAAAAUUGCCAUUUUCUCUACCAUGUCCACAGGACACAGCUGGCAUUUUGUUGAUUUAUGGCAAUCAGAGUAUAGUGUUUAUUCCAUGAGCACUUUUCCAGUCUUCUAGACAAAGCCAUCUGUAACUGUAUAACUAUCCAGAGAUAGUAUUGACAGUCAUAAAUUUCUAACUUCUGUAUAAUUCCUAUAAAAUUGAAAAAUAACAAUGAUAGUAGUAUUUUCACAUUUCCUUGAGAGGAGCUGGCACUAUAUUUUAAAGUUAAUCAUUUGGCAUUAGUAGUCACUGUUUUUGAUGACAAAUGAAGUAGGUCUAAACAUGUGUUUAUUUUUAGCUUUAAAAUGUUUUGGUUUCCACUGCUCACAGGUGCUUUAUGUUUAGCAUAAUGUGAACACUUAAAUUGUUAAUGUAUCAAAUGGUAAUAGUUUGGGACACAAUAAACCAGUAAAAUGUUGAUUCUUGGCCAUUUCAGUGACUUGAGCAUGUCCUCUUAUCUUUUCUAACCUAAUGAUACAUGAAUGAAUGCAAUGUCUUUGCAGUGACUUAAUAAUUAUGAACUUGAAUUAUCCCCUGUCAUACCUAGGUAUCAUUUUCUUAAAGUGGAAAACAUUUACUGCUUCUGAAUCUUUCUCAAUUUGGUUUCACAUUAAGAAUUUGAACCUUUGAAUUAUUUCCAGAAGCUCUGCAUACAUUGCAUUUAUUUAGUAGAGAAAAUGGUAAUUUUCAGCUUUGCCCUUACAAGGUGUUUUCUUUUUUUAAGGUGACGUUAUAAAUACCUGGGGCAGCAUAAACAUUAUAGAAGAAGGGCCCUCUGCAAUCUGAUUGGGCAGGUAGUUAUCCUAAUUAACUUACAGUUUUAUAAAUGAACAAACUGCUUUGGACAAGGAAUUUAUUCCAUCCUAAUUUCUUGAAUGGUAAAUCAUAGAAAGAUUCAAGUUAAUUCAGAUUAAGCGUGUUAACAGGAUAUAGCUUUUACAUUUUGCUGUUGAGUUCAACUGCACCUUUUAAAUACUUUAAAUGUAUUAUAUGUAUGGCCCUUAUGAAGAUAUUUGCUGUAAUUCUAUUAAAAGACUUUCGCUUAUGGAUGUUGCUAUACUGGUGUAUGAAAUUUAUACAAUUAAACUCCAGUGUGGUAGUCAUUUCAGUAUACAUGAACUGUACAUUUUGUGCAAUGGCUUUAUCUUAAGAAUGACUUGUGAAUGCACUUUGUGGCCUUCUCGGGGGGGAGGGUGAGAGUAGGAGAGAAUUCCCAUGUUAAGAUUACUUUUUUUAAGUAUUGGUUAUGUAUUAGGCAGAAACAGUGUUCAUAACAUUUUUCUGGGAUUUAGGUAUAUUUUGGAGAUCUUUACUAUAAAUGUUUUAAGUAUUCUUAUGUACACUGUAGUGCCCCUAACAUAUAAAAAAUCAUAGCAUGUCAUUGCAAGCUUUCUCCACUGUCACCAGUGAGACACAGUGCCCUCUUAAAUUCCUACACCUUAACUUCCUCGUAAUCAACAGUAACUGGAUGUUUUUGAGGUGCUUCGAUUGGAAUUUAAAGUAUUCCAAUCUAUUUGGAGACCAAAGGCAAAUUCAGUUUCAUUACCUUUGGGAUUAUUCUUACCUUUUAUGGUCAAUUUCAGCUUUGACAUUUAUUGUGAGGAACAUGCCCCCCCACCCCCCCAAAAAAAACAGUAAUGGGGUUUCGAACUUAAAUCUGUAAAAGUGUCAAUAUAUAGUGUGUUCAUUUUCAUGUGCCACUUAUACUGCCUAAUACAGUGCCAUUUGCCUUGUGAAGAUCUGUAAACAUUAGUUGUAUUGAAUGUCAGACAGAGACUCUCUAAUCUUAGUGAUCUGAAUACCCCACAAAUGAUUAAGAAUGAUAUAAAAACCAGCAGCUAAGGAACAUCUUAUUUAGUUGUAGCAAAUUCAUAACAAGUGUCCUUCAAGGAUGAACUCGUAUUCUAUUCCUGUUUGUAUUUGUAUUGACCCUUUAGUGCAUUUUUUUCAGCUUUUAAAAGUGAGUAUAUUUAUGUGCUGGAAGGAAAAGAUCUUAGAGUCUCAGACUUUGUUUCUUUGUGCGACAGCUGGAAAGGAGCAAUGAAGUUUAUUUUGUUUCUUCCCCCCAAAGUACACUCUGCCGUAGUUUAUGUAUGACAAAGAUAAUUUAAAAAGAAAACUUUAUAUAAAAAUUGUACAUAAAGUUUGUCUUUGAAACAUUUCUUUGGAGAUUUUUUUUUUAAUUGAUGCAAACGUUUAAAAAAAAAAAACUUAAAAAGCAUUGGACUUUUUUUUUAAACUGUGUUUUAUUUUCAUCCGUUUUCUCUCAGAUAGCUUUUUAUUUCUAGUGUAGAGGUAGUCGGCACUCUUCAAAUUGGUAUGUACUUUUAUUGGAGAAUCGUCUCAGAAAAUUGAACUUUUCAGGUUAAAGCGGUACAUACUGAAAGAACAUACUCAUAGAGCAGCAGACCAGAACUCUGGUACUUGUGGCUCACAGAAACAGUUUACUAGAUUUCAAAGUCAAAAAUCUGAGAAUGACCAACCUGUGAUUGUGGGGUACCACACAGUGCUUUUAAAUCCAGGGAAAAAACUGUAUCACCAAAGCUUUUGUCUUGGUUUUCCUUAUGUAUGUAAUUUCGUGGAACCAAUCUUACUAGAUGGGACCCGCAAGCAAUUGAUUUUUUAACUCUGACACCAAGAGAGAAUAUCAUUACAUUAUUUAAUCCAGCCUUUUGUCUCCUAAAACCAAAUGCCCAUUGUGGAAUAGCAUUAUUCUGUUAGGACCAGCUGAGUGUGGGUUGUUAAGAAUAAUGAGUGUUUACCCUUUUACUGGAGUAUAAAUAUGUCAGCAUUUUUAGAUUUUGUUUUCGAUCACUAAAAAUACUGAUAUGAUCUUGAAGGACUGAAGUGCUAGGAAUCCAUUUGUCCUUUACGCUUCCAGCAUUGUCCGUGCUGUCUUUGGUUGUUUACAUGCCCUUCUGCCUGGACUGUUAUAGCGCUAUAGGGGCCCCUCUGGGGCUGGUAGAUAAUAUUUCAGCCUUUUUCUCCUCUGGUAUUGAUCAUGACUUAACAUUCCUAAGAAUAUAGGUGUUCCUAAAUGACUUAAAUUGGAAGGGGAUUUUAACUAUAUAAAAGUAUUUAAUGUACUAACUUUCGGCCCACACAAAUCUCCAUUGUGCCCUUACAUUUCUCCAUCUACACCCUGCUUUUUAUGCUACUCCUUGUAGAAACUGAAGAUUCUAGUUUUCCUCAGUUUUUGUGUUAAUAAAUAUUUUGAAUGUGUACCCCUGCAUAUGUGAACCAUUAAAUUAUGACCUGUCAGUCGUAGCUAAAUAAUCAACUUCAAAGAGUUGAUAUCCUUUGACCAUUUAUGUGAGGUUUGCUAUUGAAUUCCUGUAUGUGGCUGUAAAUUAUGUGCAUUUACUCUGUAUUUAUGUUAACUAGCUGAAUUUUAUUUGAAUUGUUAAAAUUCCAAAAAUUAAAAUAUGCGUAUGAAAAUCUGA